UUAAUGUAUAGAUAAAAUAAUUUAUUUAAUAAUAUAAUAUUUAAUGAUAAUUGCUUUCAUAAUAUAUAUAUCGAAUCUAUCGAAUCAAUUAUCGAUCGAUGUGGGAGAUCGAUUUGACUCAUAUUUUAAUUUACGCAUACUUUUUAUUUUUAUGUAAAAGUAAUUACAAUUUGUGAAACAUGAAUUAAUCAUAAUUAGCUUUAUUAGUGUGAAAAACGCAAAGUUCAAAACGGUAUAUAUCGCAGAAGCACUCAUCUUGACGCGUGAAGUUAGCGCUAAAGAUGAUCAUCUCUGACUCGAGCCAACUUAACACAGUUCUCUGUUUUAGGGGUUCACAUGCCUUCCGGAACGGAAUGGGACGCUGGGUUCACUUUCUUUCCGGAACGGAACGGGACGCGGGACACAUCAGCUCCCGAUCGAGUCUUAUUCACAAAUCAUAUAAUCGAACGCAACGAAUGUGGAACGACACGCCGCCGCAAGUGCUAGAACAAGUGCUAUCGCCAAGUAUUUAAUCGAACUCGACAGAGGUGGAACGACCCGGCGCUGUAUAGGACGGCAUCGCAGAUCAUAACUGCUACGUAUAACGCCACAUUUAUGAGAGGAGGAGGAGGUUCAGGAAGAGUAUCGGACCUCAGCGAAGCAAUCUCGGGGUAAAUAUUUUUUAUUUGCACUAAUUGUUUUUUUGUCAUUUACUUGGUUUUCUUCCAACAAAUUUCAAAAAUAUAUAGAAAAAGAAAGAAAAUGUACAUGA